GAGCGCGUUCAUAAAAUCAUGUAAAUUACAUAAGAAUAAAUCAGACAACUGCUGAAAAUUAUAUAUAACCAAUAAAUUCAAAUUUUAUUUGUCACAUACACAGUCAUACACAGUACGAAAUGUAGUGAAAUGCUUACACAACCGCCAGUGACCUUAAAAAGAGAAUUAAAGCUUAUAAUAAGUAAUAAAUAUGAAUAAAAGAAAUACGAUAGAAAAUUUAAAUAAAAAAAUAAAAUAAAAUUUAACUAGGAAAAAUAGAACUAAAAAUAGAAACUGAAAAUAGAAAUGUACUGUACAAAUAGAAAUAUAAUGGUGUGCAAAUAUGCAUAGAAAAAGUGACUAUAGGGACAAUAGGGAAAUAUCAGGGAAUUUAGCAAAACUUUAAUUGAUCGUUAAAAUUAAAUGCAUAUAUGUUUUUAUAAUUUAUUUUAGGUAGAAAGAAUCAAAUAGAUGUAAAUGUGUAAAUGGGGUUAUUUCAUACUUUUGUAGGAAGUUAAGUGAUUGUGACUCUUUAGGACCUUGCAGAGAAACAACACUGGAGAAACUUCCUUUGAUUUCUAAAUGAAGUCAUGAAAGCCACAAGAAGAGCACACAGCUCUCUCUGACUCCAUUAUGCACACAAAAAAAAUGAGCACACACAACCUCCAUAACGGCUGAGAAGUUUUCACGGCAUUGCAAGAUCAUGUCAGUUUCUGGUGUUGCUACAAGCAUUCUUAAGCAAAACCCAGCAGAGGAUGAAAAAAUGCACGGAGGCCUGCAGAAGCCGGAUAAACCAGGGAAAGAUGGGGAAGCCAUGAUUAGACACAGAACUGAAAGUUUUCCUGGAAAACGCCCUAAUAUGAAAAAAGAAAAUGAUUUGGAAGACUUGAAGAAUGCAAAGACACAAAGACACUAGGAUAUUUAACUGAAUGGGAAAAAAAUAUCUUCAUUGGUUUAUUGGAUAAGUUAAAUAAGCCAGAACUUUUCCUAGCAGCUUUUGAGUUGGUUUAAGUUCUGGAUACAAAACUGUAAUACAAAUGAUUUAAUCUGGCAUAUUUUCCAUUGCUGCUAUUUAAUAUGCUGCUAUCAGAAUAUGCUGCCAUUUCAUAUGCUGCUAUCAGAGUGUGCUGCUAUUGUUUAUCACUAUAAAGCACUGUAUAAAAGUCUUAGGCACCCUGUGUUGUUGUUUUUGUACAAACUUAUUAUACAUGUUUAUUUUUAAGACUUCAUUAUUAGUUCAGUAAAGUAAAAAAAAAAUCUGAUUUCCAAACAGGAAAAAAGGCACCAUAUUAUGUAAAAGUAUGUAACUGUAUUUUAAGCAAAAUGUCUUCACUCCAACUGUUGACUGUUUAACGCUUUUUAUAGUUUGGUUAUAGUAUUAAAAUGUAGAAGCAUUUUUGAAGACAUUCGUGCUCUACAGCAGGUAUUUGCGUGUGCCUAAGACUUUUACACAGUACUGUUUAUAUCAUAAAAGUUCCAUAAGCUCUGUUUAUAACAAACUCUUUUAUGCCUUUACUAUUAUUUCUGUUGAUCUGUUGAUGUUUGAUUUUUUUUCUCCAUGUCAGAUUAUCUGUUCCCUCUAUCAAACAAAUGGGGCAAUAUUUUUAUAUAGAAAUGAGUAUUAAUAGUUAACAUCCCUAAAUAUUUUUUCAUAUGGUGCAUAGUAAUAAUGCACCAUAUUCCACCUAUACAUACUAAUGUGCUAGAACUGGGUAAGGAAUGAUAGGGUGGAUUUUUUGUUCUUUGGAGCAGAGUGUGAUGUUUUAGCCUCUGUUUUCCUAAAUUUCACUUUAAACACAUGAAAAAUCAAAAGUUACUGUAUGUAAAUGUAAAAAUGUUUACUUAAGUCACUGUGCAUCUAAACUGUGCAUCAGUGUUUAUCCUGUACUGUAACUUCUCUAGGGCUGCUAAGGGUUUUAAUAACCA